AACGAACGCUGGCGGCAUGCCUAACACAUGCAAGUCGAACGAGACCUUCGGGUCUAGUGGCGCACGGGUGCGUAACGCGUGGGAACCUGCCCUUAGGUUCGGAAUAACUCCCCGAAAGGGGUGCUAAUACCGGAUAAUGUCUUCGGACCAAAGAUUUAUCGCCUUUGGAUGGGCCCGCGUUGGAUUAGCUAGUUGGUAGGGUAAAAGCCUACCAAGGCGACGAUCCAUAGCUUGUCUGAGAGGAUGAUCAGCCACACUGGGACUGAGACACGGCCCAGACUCCUACGGGAGGCAGCAGUGGGGAAUAUUGGACAGUGGGCGAAAGCCUGAUCCAGCAAUGCCGCGUGAGUGAUGAAGGCCUUAGGGUUGUAAAGCUCUUUUACCCGGGAUGAUAAUGACAGUACCGGGAGAAUAAGCUCCGGCUAACUCCGUG
rnacentral:rRNA from 1 species